rnacentral:rRNA from 1 species
AAUAACUUCGAGAAAUCGAGGCUAAUACCGCAUAAUAUCUACGGAUUAAAGCAUUUAUGCGCUAGAGGAGGGGCCUGCGUCUGAUUAGCUUGUUGGUGAGGUAAAAGCUCACCAAGGCGACGAUCAGUAGCUGGAUCGAGAGGUUGACCAGCCACACUGGGACUGAGAUACGGCCCAGACUCCUACGGGAGGCAGCAGUGAGGAAUCUUCCACAUGGACGAAAGUCUGAUGGAGCAAUGCCGCGUGCAGGAUGACGGCCUUCGGGUUGUAAACUGCUUUUAUAUGGGAAGAUUAUGACGGUACCAUAUGAAUAAGGACCGGCUAACUACGUG